ACCUAGGGUAGAGGUGCUGUUAGUUAAUAGUAUUUAGAUUGAGCCGGCAAGCUAAGAUGUCUAAAGAAAGGAACAACGGCCGAAGAGGUAAUACCGGCAGGAAUUAUCUCUGGUCAUGUACAUAAUAUGUGCCUGACUGUCACGUUAUGUGGAGAGCUACAAGGUAG
rnacentral:ncRNA from 2 species